AUGCACGCUGGCGGCGUGCCUCAUACAUGCAAGUCGCGCGAACAGACGAGGAGCUUGCUCCUCUGACGUUAGCGGCGGACGGGUGAGUAACACGUGGAUAACCUACCUAUAAGACUGGGAUAACUUCGGGAAACCGGAGCUAAUACCGGAUAAUAUAUUGAACCGCAUGGUUCAAUAGUGAAAGACGGUUUUGCUGUCACUUAUAGAUGGAUCCGCGCCGCAUUAGCUAGUUGGUAAGGUAACGGCUUACCAAGGCAACGAUGCGUAGCCGACCUGAGAGGGUGAUCGGCCACACUGGAACUGAGACACGGUCCAGACUCCUACGGGAGGCAGCAGUAGGGAAUCUUCCGCAAUGGGCGAAAGUCUGACGGAGCAACGCCGCGUGAGUGAUGAAGGUCUUCGGAUCGUAAAACUCUGUUAUUAGGGAAGAACAAAUGUGUAAGUAACUAUGCACGUCUUGACGGUACCUAAUCAGAAAGCCACGGCUAACUACGUG
rnacentral:rRNA from 1 species